UGAAUACGAGACGCUAAGGCGUCGAAGUAGUGUAUGUCAUACUUCCAAGAAAAGCUUGCACUGUCAUAGAUAAAAAACGCCUGUACCAUAACCGACACAGGUGGGUAGGUAGAGUAUACUAAGGGGCGCGAGAUAACUCUCUCUAAGGAACUCGGCAAAAUAACUCCGUAACUUCGGGAGAAGGAGUGCCUUAUUUAUAAGGCUGCAAUAACAAGAUCCAAGCAACUGUUUAUCAAAAACACAGGUCUCCGCUAAGUCGUAAGACGAUGUAUGGGGGCUGACGCCUGCCCAGUGCCAGAAGGUUAAAGAAGUUGGUUAGCUUUUGCGAAGCUGAUAACUGAAGCCCUGGUGAACGGCGGCCGUAACGAUAACGGUCCUAAGGUAGCGAAAUUCCUUGUCGGGUAAGUUCCGACCCGCACGAAAGGCGUAAUGAUUUGGAUACUGUCUCGGAGAGGGGCUCGGUGAAAUAGACUUGUCUGUGAAGAUGCGGACUACCUGCACCAGGACAGAAAGACCCUAUGAAGCUUUACUGUAACUUGUAAUUGAAAUUGGACUUUAUUCGCGCAGCAUAGGUGGGAGGCGUUGAUUAUAAUCUCGUGGGAUUAUUGGAGCCAUCAGUGAGAUACCACUCUUGUAAUGUUAGAUUUCUAACUUUGAAUCAUUAUCUGGUCAAAGAACAGUUUCAGGCGGGCAGUUUGACUGGGGCGGUCGCCUCCUAAACGGUAACGGAGGCGUACAAAGGUUUCCUCUGAACGGUUAGAAAUCGUAUCUAGAGUGUAAAGGCAUAAGGAAGCUUGACUGUGAGACCUACAAGUCGAGCAGGGACGAAAGUCGGUCUUAGUGAUCUGACGGUACUGAGUGGAAAGGCCGUCACUCAACGGAUAAAAGUUACUCUAGGAUAACAGGCUGAUCUCCCCCAAGAGUUCACAUCGACGGGGAGGUUUGGCACCUCGAUGUCGGCUCAUCGCAUCCUGGGGCGGUAGUACGUCCCAAGGGUUGGGCUGUUCGCCCAUGAAAGCGGUACGCGAGCUGGGUUCAGAACGUCGUGAGACAGUUCGGUCCAUAUCCGGUGUAGGCGUUAGAAUAUUGAGAGGAGCCUUCUUUAGUACGAGAGGACCGAGAAGGACAUACCUCUGGUGUACCAGUUAUCGUGCCAACGGUAAACGCUGGGUAGCUAUGUAUGGAGUGGAUAACCGCUGAAAGCAUCUAAGUGGGAAGCCCACCUCAAGAUAAGUAUUCUC
rnacentral:rRNA from 1 species